rnacentral:lncRNA from 1 species
AAGAGUUUUGCAAAGUCAAGCUUUGUUUUGGAAGACUUAGGUUUUAUGAAAUAAAAUAGGGUUUAUAUUUUGGGUGAUUUUGAGAGUUUUGUAGUAGAUCUAUAAGUGAAAUUUUGUAAGUUUAUGGUUAUAGUUGUGUUCAAUAUGUGUUGUGAAUUUGAGCUCGAUCUAAUAGUUGAAUUGAAGGAUAUUGAGGUUUAAGUGGGUCAAGGUCUUAGAAAGUAGAAUUUUAGGUCUAGUGAGGGUUUUUAAGAUUUCUUACAAUCU